UCGGGAAUAUUGCGCAAUGGAGGAAACUCUGACGCAGUGACGCCGCGUGCAGGAAGAAGGUUUUCGGAUUGUAAACUGCUUUAGACAGGGAAGAUAACGACAGUACCUGUAGAAUAAGCUCCGGCUAACUACGUGCCAGCAGCCGCGGUAAUACGUAGGGAGCAAGCGUUAUCCGGAUUUAUUGGGUGUAAAGGGUGCGUAGACGGGAAGGCAAGUUAGUUGUGAAAUCCCUCGGCUUAACUGAGGAACUACAACUAAAACUAUCUUUCUUGAGUGUUGGAGAGGAAAGUGGAAUUCCUAGUGUAGCGGUGAAAUGCGUAGAUAUUAGGAGGAACACCAGUGGCGAAGGCGACUUUCUGGACAAUAACUGACGUUGAGGCACGAAAGUGUGGGGAGCAAACAGGAUUAGAUACC
rnacentral:rRNA from 1 species